UGGAUAGACAGACAAACAGAUGAACAAAUUUGAAACAGGAACUCCAGAAUUAGAAAAGAACGGAGACUUACAGUAAGUGCCGGUGAAUUUAGGCGGCAGAGACGAGGGCAGUUGCUAUUGGCGAAGGAGAGCAGCGGUGAUUGGGUUUACAAGUUCGCCAAUGUGAAAAGAGUUACAGCUCCCUCAGGAAGACGAAGACGGCCAAGAAUGCUCC
rnacentral:lncRNA from 1 species